GAUGAACGCUGGCGGCGUGCUUAACACAUGCAAGUCGAACGGAAAGGCCCAAGCUUGCUUGGGUACUCGAGUGGCGAACGGGUGAGUAACACGUGGGUGAUCUGCCCUGCACUUCGGGAUAAGCCUGGGAAACUGGGUCUAAUACCGGAUAGGACCACUUCUUGGAUGUUGUGGUGGAAAGUUUUUCGGUGUGGGAUGAGCUCGCGGCCUAUCAGCUUGUUGGUGGGGUAAUGGCCUACCAAGGCGUCGACGGGUAGCCGGCCUGAGAGGGUGUACGGCCACAUUGGGACUGAGAGACGGCCCAGACUCCUACGGGAGGCAGCAGUGGGGAAUAUUGCACAAUGGGCGCAAGCCUGAUGCAGCGACGCCGCGUGGGGGAUGACGGCCUUCGGGUUGUAAACUCCUUUCGCUAGGGACGAAGCUUAUUUUGUGACGGUACCUGGAGAAGAAGCACCGGCUAACUACGUG
rnacentral:rRNA from 1 species